CCCUGCGCUCGCUGCGAACGAAGUGAUGUUUCGCGCAUCUAUUUUUACCGUGUUUAUCAAUAUUACGUGCGGUUAUCGUUGUUGAAUGAACACGUACUACUUACAUCGCGUGUCGGGACGUUCGGGUCGUUGUUUGACAUGGAAUCGACGGCGGCGAUGCGUCGUCGUGGCACCAACCAACGGACGCGAGCUUUGAACAAGAGCGCAAGCGCGGACCGUUUGACGAGACAGUCGCCGCAGCGGAUACAACACCUCGGUAAGAGUGCCUGGGCGGGCGGCCAGUUACCACAGAAGGGAUGCUGCGCAAGAGCAAGGGCCUGCUAAAAAACAGCUCAAGAGACUGAAGUGGUGGACAGCUUGCUGUGAAAGAUGGAAGCGUUCUUCCUGCAAGUCUGGACAAGGCCAUAUUAAAUGGCUUCAUCUGUCACAAAUCGCUGGCCACGAAUGUAAAGAAUACCUUGGCCCCACUUCUGUCGAGGGAACCGAAGUUGCCUGAACAGAUGAAGAGGGGUGGUGCUACCAAUAGUGAACGACUGUGAUUUUAUAAUGUGCAAGUGUAUGAAAAAUCUUGUUACACUAAUUUAACGUUAAUUGCAUUCACUAGUCAAGUGUCAAUAUUGUAAUGUGUAAGUUUAUGCACAGUUGCAUUAAGUGAGCGCUCAUUCAAGCUUCAAGUUCGCAAUCAUAUAUUUUGGUGGUAUUCAUA